GAAAAAGUUCAUUUAAUAGCCAAGAUCUCAUAACACGCCUCCCUUUCGCACGAUCUGUACCCAAAACCCAGAGGAAAUCGAGAUCUAAAGCGAUUAUCUGCCUCUGAAUCAAUGGUCAUCAGCUCUAGCUCUAUACCAUGCUGGUGCUGGUGUAGUUGUUGGUGUUGUCAACUAUUGGAGUUGCUGGUUUGAAGUGCAUAUCAACUGUUUGAGGGGACACAAAGGAUGUAGAGGUGAAAAGCUUUAUUCUGGCUUGUUUGCUAUGGCCCUUGUUUCGCAUUCCAUUGUAUAGCACUAUCUAAAGUUCUAAACAUGAAGAGAGCUCUAGAACAAAUUAGAAGAACGUGAGAUGCGAAGGUCAGCACAUUUCCUACAAAAGAAGUCUGCACAUCUCCUGUGAAGAAUACCACAUCCCCGCAUAUUCAAAAAAAGAGAACUUGAGAAGAAGGUCACAUCCCUAGAGAAGAAUGAUUUGUCAAAGAGGUCUGGAUGGGCACAAGAACUUAAUUAGGAACUGCUUUUGAUCAUGUUGAAUUGUAUGCAGUAUCAUGUUUCUACUCUCUGGCUAGCUCCUUAAGUAGAUUGCAAGUUUUUGUUUACGCGAAAGUUGUAAUCAAAAGUAUUUUAGGUUCUUUUUUGGUUCUCCUGAUCACCAAGCGAGGUGGAAGUACUGUUGGAUGUGUUUAGGUGAUCUGUGCGAAGCAAAGUUUAUUUGAUAGCUAGCCUUUGGUGUAAUUUUAUGGCUGUGAACUGUGUCGUCGUUACAUGGAGAUGGCGACCACUUAUACAAAGGUUACAAAAAUGCGAGGGUUUAUAAUUGCAUAGAGACAUAAACCGCUUAUACAACUGACUCCUAUUCUCCUAUAGCGACUUUUUCUUGCCCUAACAUGAUCAUCCUUACAAGAUUUAAGAGUAUCCUCUUUCGCUCUUCCAUUGCCUCUUGCAAAAGAUGAAAUAACU